GACGUAGGGGCGAGCGUUGUCCGGAAUUACUGGGCGUAAAGAGCACGUAGGCGGGAACUUAAGUCAGGUGUGAAAGACCGUGGCUCAACCACGGGGUUGCAUUUGAAACUGAGUUUCUUGAGGGCAGGAGAGGAAAGCAGAAUUCCUGGUGUAGCGGUGAAAUGCGUAGAAAUCAGGAGGAAUACCAGUGGCGAAGGCGGCUUUCUGGACUGACCCUGACGCUGAGGUGCGAAAGCGUGGGUAGCAAACAGGAUUAGAUACCCGUGUAGUCCCUGA
rnacentral:rRNA from 1 species